AGAAAUCAAGGGAAGAAGGGAGGUAAGCAGAAACAGUGCAUCCUAACUCUGUGCCCAGUGGUUAGACAGAGUGUCUUGCCCAGUGACCUGGCUCUGAAAUUUGGCUAUAAACACUCAAGCCUGAAGACUUGGCCUCCAGUCAUAUCUCAGGAUAC